rnacentral:rRNA from 1 species
CCUACGGGUGGCAGCAGUGAGGAAUAUUGGUCAAUGGACGAGAGUCUGAACCAGCCAAGUAGCGUGAAGGAUGACUGCCCUAUGGGUUGUAAACUUCUUUUAUAUGGGAAUAAAAUGUUCCACGUGCGGGAUUUUGUAUGUACCAUAUGAAUAAGGAUCGGCUAACUCCGUGCCAGCAGCCGCGGUAAUACGGAGGAGCCGGGCGUUAUCCGGAUUUAUUGGGUUUAACGGGAACGUAGGAGGUUUGUUAAGUCAAUUGUGAAAGUUUGCGGCUCAACCGUACAAUUGCAGUUGAAACUGGCAGUCUUGAGUACAGUAGAGGAGGGCGGAAU